GAUGAAGAACGCAGCGAAAUGCGAUAAGUAAUGUGAAUUGCAGAAUUCAGUGAAUCAUCGAAUCUUUGAACGCACAUUGCGCCCGCCAGUAUUCUGGCGGGCAUGCCUGUCUGAGCGCCAUUUCAACCCUCAUGCCCCUAGGGCGUGGUGUUGGGGAUCGGCCAAAGCCCGCGAGGGACGGCCGGCCCCUAAAUCUAGUGGCGGACCCGUCGUGGCCUCCUCUGCGAAGUAGUGAUAUUCCGCAUCGGAGAGCGAUGAGCCCCUGCCGUUAAACCCCCAACUUUCCAAGGUUGACCUCAGAUCAGGUAGGAAUACCCGCUGAACUUAAGCAUAUCAAUAAGCGGAGGA
rnacentral:misc_RNA from 1 species